AUUGAACGCUGGCGGCAUGCCUUACACAUGCAAGUCGAACGGCAGCACGGGAGCAAUCCUGGUGGCGAGUGGCGAACGGGUGAGUAAUGUAUCGGAACGUGCCCAGUCGUGGGGGAUAACGCAGCGAAAGCUGUGCUAAUACCGCAUACGAUCUAUGGAUGAAAGCGGGGGAUCGCAAGACCUCGCGCGAUUGGAGAGGCCGAGAUCAGAUUAGGUAGUUGGUGGGGUAAAGGCCCACCAAGCCUGCGUUCUGUAGCUGGUCUGAGAGGACGAGCAGCCACACUGGGACUGAGACACGGCCCAGACUCCUACGGGAGGCAGCAGUGGGGAAUUUUGGACAAUGGGCGCAAGCCUGAUCCAGCAAUGCCGCGUGCAGGACGAAGGCCGUCGGGUUGUAAACUGCUUUUGUACGAGACGAAAAGACUCGCUCUAAUACAGUGGGUACAUGACGGUAUCGUAAGAAUAAGCACCGGCUAACUACGUGCCAGCAGCCGCCGUAA
rnacentral:rRNA from 1 species